AUCAAAUUAAAAUUUAUUAGAAAUGUUUGCUCGUCUUGCGGAACACCCGCAGAACAAGUUACUCGCAAUCCAAAGUUUCACUGUAUGCUCAUCACAGAACUGUUCGUAUUAGAAAAACAAUGGAGAGGAUCUAAAGAAUCAGAGAGCGAGAAGAGAAAGGCGACUUCACUUUUUGUAUGUUGGUGUGUGAGCUUUUUCUAUUUAAUAUUGUUUUAAGUUAAUGCCCCAGAGGGGGGAAAUGCUCUGUGUCUGAUUUUCUGGAAAUUAUUACAGUGAAAUUCCGGCACCUGCUUUCCCCAAACCCCAUUCACAUGUCCCCGAAAUCAAUCCAAACAAGGUCUCAGGCACAGCCCAGAACAAAAGAGGAGGAGCAUAGCUUAGACUCCGGGAUCCUUGUAACCCAGCACCUCCUAAAGGGAAGAAAGGCAGAGGUAGAUUCCCUUCGCACCACACCUUACCCCACCUGGCUGGAGAGGCUGAUGUCAGGUGAGGAUGUGGCCACAUCUGCAUGGAGGAGGCAGGAGAUAUCUGGGCUUAGCACUCUGCCCAGCCCAGGAGAGGGACCCAGGACAACAGCCUAAUCCUCCGGCAUCAGGUUCAGAAUAGCUUCGAGGAGAGCAAGGAAGAGAACUCACCCAUGUCACCCCAAGCCCGGGGACAUUUACAGUGAGGUCACGUAGACUCGGGGGCCCAGGAGAACAACCCGGGUACAGGAAGAGCCAAGACGACGGUAAAGCAGGGCGGUGGGUCUUUGCACUGUCCUCCUCCAAACAGCAUGAGUGACUCAGCCCUCCCGAGGGUGCCACGUUCUCUCUGCUUCCGCCAUUUGGUCUCAUCUCACUCGUGACCCCCCCUCCAUGUGAGUCCUACUCAGGGCUGAUGAUCCAAAUACCUAACAGCUACCAGAGCAUGGGCCCCCGCCAGGCAAAACAGACACCAGCUGUGAACAACGGAAAGAGAUAGCAAAUUACCCCCUAAACUCGCUGGCUUAGAACAACAAACGUUUAUGAUCUCACCCACUUAUGGGUCAGGAAUUUGAAGCCGCUUAGUUGGAUGGUUCCGGCUCAGGGUCUCUCAGGAAGUUGUAGUCAAGAGGUUCAGGUGGAGUUACAGUCUUUCGAAGGCUUGGCCUGGGCUGGGGCAUCUGCGUCCAAGGCUGUGGGCAGGAGGCCUCCAUGCCCCGCCCCCACCCCCCCCCCCAGCGGACCUCUCCAGAGGGCCGCUUGGGCGUCCUCACAACAUGGCGGCUGGCUUCCGCAGAGGGACUGACCCAAGAGAGCAAGGCUGAGUCACAAUGUCUUUUAUGACCUACCCUCCAAAGUCACACACUGCCAUUUCUGCAGUACCCUAGCAGUCGCACAGGUCAGCCAUACUCUGUGUGGAAAGGGACGGGCACAAGGGGUAAAUACCAGGAGGCGAGGAUCGGUGAGUGACAUUCUGGAGGCUGCUCCCUCUUCAAAAUCCUCUAACGGAUUGCCACCCCUUAGAACAAAACACAAAUGCCUGCCCGUGGCCCGCAAGGGCUGGCGGGACUGGGGCCCUACCUGCUUUCCAGGCUCAUCACGCCCUUGGCCACUUGCGCUAACUGCCAGAUGCACCAACCUGUCCCUCAAGGUCCCACGCUCAUCCUUCACGGUCUCCACUACGUCCGCCUGGAAGCCUCCCUACCAGACUUUGCAUGGUUCCUCCUCACCUUUUAGGUCUCGGCUCCAAUGCCACCUCGUCAGACAGGUUCCCCUGACCACCUUACCCAAAAUAGCCCCCACCCCUGCCUGCCUCUCUCUCACAUCACCUCGCGUGGUGUCGCCCUCCACGGUUGCAAAUGCGUAGCUACCACAUGAGCGAUGAUCCGUAAUUUACAUUUUGUGGCACCGAUUCGAUGUAUUUCCACGUGCAGUCGGUUCCGAUGUCUUGCUGCGUUUCCUUCAUUUCCUUCCGAGACGCCCGUUCACAUCACCCCGUGUUGGCUUCUUCCCGGCACAGCGCUGACCCCUCUCUGAAAUGAUCCUGUGCGUCGGAUUAUUGCCCUUCUCCCUUCACGUGCCAGUGAGAGCCCUUGCUUUUAAGCAACAGACUCUUUCCUAGCUAGUUGAAGCUGAAGAGGAAUUUAUUAGCAGAUAGGAAGCACCUCAGAAGUCACCAGGAGAGCAGAGAACUAGGCUUGGAGGUCAUCUGUGUGGAUCAGUCCUUGCAUGAGCCCCACUGCACGCGCGUGCACACACACACACCACUGUUGCCCUGGUGGGCACUUGAAGCUGGAGACCACCAAGGGGAUGCCUGCAGCUGCCGACUCUGGGAUCCGGAUGGAUCUGCUGUACUCUCUCCAGAGAACAUUCCUCGGCACCUGCCUCUCAGUGUCACUUGGAUGCGGGCGCAUCUGAUGGCUGGCGUCUUGUGUCACCUUCUCUGCUCCAUCUGCAAGCGAGGCUGGGAACCUACGUGGCUUCCACAGAGGGAGAUGUCAGUUCAUAAGGCGGCGGCGGGGGGGAGCCUCAAACCGAGGAAGAGUAUAUGCCGUGGUUCGGGGAUGCCAGUGCAUUGAUGACAUAUAUCGUGUCCCGUCUACUCUUCCGGCUCCUUCUCAUCACCAACCCCUCUCUCAUCCUCAGACUUCACAAACGACAACACAACCCAACGGCAGGCUGAGAGCCGCUUCUCAAAAAGAAAAUAGUUACUUGUGCAAAGACUGCAUGGCUCUGCUCCAAAACUUUAGGGCUUGCUGCCAGCCUCUGACCAUCUCGCUCAUGUCUUUAUUGCCUGCCGGGAGCCCCCCUCUGGAUGUAUUUAUUGCGUUCCCACCAUGUGCUACCAGCCGGUAGACAGAACAGCCUCAAAUCCUGCUGUUGUGGGGGUUUUGACGCCACCGAGAUGGUGACCAAGGCAGAUCUCUACACCGGUCACCUAUUCCCAGCUCCCCGAAGCUCCGGAACAAUCAUCACGGACGUACCACCCAACCUGUACACGGUCCCAUGGUACGGUAAUCGGCUUGAGCUACCAUGACAAAAUACCAU